rnacentral:tRNA from 1 species
AUGGAUGUGGCUCAGCAGUGGAGCACUUGCCUCGCAUGCAUGAGAUCCUGGGUUCGAAUCCCAGUACUAUA